AUUAGUUUGCUCUUAUUUUCUUUUUGCAGCGAUUGAGUUGUGUGCAUGUCACGACAGAUUGAGCCCUUCAGAAGGAUAGUAGCAGAUAAGCAGCUAUGUUAACGUCAUGGAGAGCUGAGUACUUGUUGCACACCAUUUAGGAGUGUUUUUGCCGGAUUAUUGCCUGACUGAUUGUUGCCUGAGUGCCAGUCAGAAAUAUCGGAUGUUUGAGAUUUCUUUUUUCCCAACGAUGGCUGCGUGGUUACCCUCACUGUAUGGAUGGCGGUGGUGAGGUGGCUGGGAUCGUGUGGUGUUGGUCACUUUAUUUGUAUUUUUGCCUUUAGGGAUGCAGUGUGAUUGCUGUGAGUUUUGCUGUGGUGAGAGCACUUUUCAGGACUACUGCCUUCACGAUAUAGGUAACCUGUGGCCAUCUGUGGGUUGUUGUUUUUGUUUCUUAUUUUUUUUAUUUGUUAUUU